rnacentral:lncRNA from 1 species
CCAACUGAUACUGAGUCAGAAAAAAGUGGAACUCAGAAGAACAGUCUUCAGGCUAAGAGUUCUGAAAGUGGAGUGACCACUUGCAGGAAUGAUAAAAAUCUUAUUACUGAUACAUGGCAAACAGUAGUAACAGCAGUAUCAGAUAUGGUAACAGCUGAAAUAGAGUUUAGAGAAAUGGAGGAAGAAAAAGAACGUCAGCUAAAACAGAAACCUUCGAGAGCUGCGCAGAAACAACCAGGCAAUGUGGCUGGGAAAGAUAGCAAAGGUGCCAAAAAGGCGUCUUCCAAAUCACCUCCUAAAAAAAAAGGAGCAAAAGCCAAUCCGGUUCCUAUAGACCCAGAAGAAUUAAGGAAAGAAGAACUGGCACUUAAAAUAAAGCAAGAAUAUUUCAGUGCCUUGAAACAUGAGGGU